GACGUAGGGGGCGAGCGUUGUCCGGAUUUAUUGGGCGUAAAGAGCUCGUAGGCGGCUCAGAAAGUCGGGUGUGAAACCUCCAGGCUCAACCUGGAGACGCCACCUGAUACUGCUGUGGCUAGAGUCCGGUAGGGGAACACGGAAUUCCCGGUGUAGCGGUGAAAUGCUUAGAUAUCGGGAGGAACACCAGUGGCGAAGGCGGUGUUCUGGGCCGGAACUGACGCUGAGGGGCGAAAGCGUGGGGAGCAAACCGG
rnacentral:rRNA from 1 species